GGCGAUUCAAUGCGAACACAUCUGGAAGAGCAGGUCGUCUCGUCAAAUUCCUGAGCCCAUAGACAGGCUCCUGCACGACACCUAAGAAUCCCAAUUUCGUCACAUCUCAACUGAAAUGCCUCAACGGAAUCCCAUCGUGAGACAGGUUCUUCCGGGGCCGCUAUCGUUUUGGAGUGGAAUAUUCUGUGCAUCAGCGAAAUGUCUCGGAGCGAACGCAUUCAAGUCUUUCUUGAAACGCAGAAACCUGCUUUUUUAGCCCAUGUCCAGGCAUUUGCGCUGCCCAAGUGCCGCGUACCGCUCUUGCUGACUCUUUCUGAGCCAGCCAAAUCAAUAAGCGACAGUUUUCCGCUUGCGCGUUUUCCGGCCACAAGAUCUUCGACCCGGACGAUAACCGAAAAAAUGAGAUGAGACCGAGAGGAUUCUGCGUUCAUUGCAGUGCCACUAACGUGACGAGCAUCCAGGCCCCAGGCAAACGUUUUGGCGAGCGUUUCCUUAUCUGCAACUUUUUUCAGCGUAAUUCCGGGGAUCGUAACCAUGCCCGUCGCGUCUUUCUUAAUCUCGAGAGCCGGGGGGGUUUUCUUCUUGUCUUCAGGAAGGAGUAAGUCUAUCAACUGACACAGAAUAUGCAGAAAGGGUCGUUUUCUCUGCAUGUUUUCCUUUGAUAAAGUGCUGCACUCCCUGGCGUUCAGAAACAAUGCAUACACUCAGCAGACCUGUUUCCUUGCUCAGCUUACAAGCGAAUGUCCACUAUCGAAGAAACACGGCGAUCCAAGUGAACGGGACUUACCUGAUUGUUGUAAAGCUCGCACAUAUAGACUUCGGCUUCAUACUUGAACUUGCCUUUCUCAAAACCGUCUAGCGUGUCAAACAGGUCGUUGAUCGCCCUUGGCGCGAUACCAGGAUUGCCCGCUCCACCCUGGAUCGUAAAGGUUUUUCCGGACCCUGUUUGUCCGUAAGCGAAAAUGCACCUGAGCCACAAAUGUUUUUAUGUUCAUAUCCCACGUUCUUGAGAGCUCUUGGCAGCACCGUGCCGAUGUGGAGUGAUUGGUAGAGGAUGUCGCUGCGGAAGAAGAACUUUUACCUUCGGUUUCACGCACCCCAAAAGCAAUGAACCGGUUGUGUGAUCGUGUUGCGGGGUGCCCUAUCGAAGUACCUGAUAUCUAGACAAAGACUCAAUGACAUCCCGUGAAACAGUACUCGGCGCAGAUGACGUUAGGCUUUCACCGGUGAUUCACUGAAGUUUUAUGGUGGUACCGCCUUAAGUCGCCGCGGUCCAACGAAAGAAGCAAUUUUUCAAAGCUAGGGCUUUUUGCAAGCCUGGAAGACUUUCAAGGAUGUUGCCAAGAGGGCUGCACCAUAGCAAUGUACCAGACGAUUUGGUGGGGUGAGGGUUAACUCGUAUCAUACAAGAGAAUGAGGAAGACACCCGCACAUCCAGACCGCUCUUGACUCCGUGUGUUGAACGGUAGAAAGUGUGGUAGAUCGUAAAACAGCCCGAGACAGUCCUCAAUUAUCAGAGGCUGUUCUGCACACCUACACGUUGAAACCGUCAAUGACGGAUUGAAUCAGGCGUUUCGUGUCUUCGUAAACCUCUUCCUGUGACCAAGGAGUCAGUCGAAAACGUGGCACGUGGCAGUGUGGAACAGCGCACAAACGGUGUCGUGUCUCGACGACAAGCUGUGCUUGGCGGUGAGACAGGACUCGCCCGAAAUCUUUAGCUCUACAGGGUGUUUAUAGUAUAGGCCUCAAAAUUUUCUCGGGUAGCCUACUGCAAUUUUGGAUCCGAGUCAUCAUUUCGAUAAACCCAGAACUAUAACACAGUCUAGACAAAAAUACCAAUGGCACCGCUACCCUCCCUCUGCGGCCGGAUGUGGCAGGAUAGGCAUCUGCGUGCCUCAUUCGAUCAUGGCAUGGCUAAUUGUGUAUGACACCAAAGCGUUUCUAUGCGUACCUGUGUGCAUUCGGGGGGGAACGUUCUGUCGUACAUGAAUUCCUUGUCACCCUGGAAAACCGCGAACCGGUGAAAAGCGCGCAAAGCGAAGGGCUCCGUAGACAUCGAAACACUUAGGUACGUAAAAGGUAUGUGUCUACGCCUCCUUGUGGCGGGUAACUCUGGGAGUGGUAUCAGCUGAAUGUUUUUUCCAUAAUUUGUCAUUUCGCGAGUAUCCGAAUUAAGCAACAAACGAUAUGGACUGUGUUCGUCCGGUAGGCUUGAGGGGUUCUGUGGAGACGACUACUGCUUUAAACAGUUUUCUGUCACGCAAGCGUAUGAACACUUAUGACAGCGACC
rnacentral:lncRNA from 1 species